rnacentral:rRNA from 1 species
UACGAAGGGGGCUAGCGUUGUUCGGAAUUACUGGGCGUAAAGCGCACGUAGGCGGACAUUUAAGUCAGGGGUGAAAUCCCAGAGCUCAACUCUGGAACUGCCUUUGAUACUGGGUGUCUUGAGUAUGGAAGAGGUGAGUGGAAUUCCGAGUGUAGAGGUGAAAUUCGUAGAUAUCGAGAGGAACACCUGCGGCGAAGGCGGGUUGCUGGGACUGACACUGACGCUGAUGCGCGAAAGGCUA